AAAGGGUCCGUAGGCGGAUCCGUAAGUCAGUGGUGAAAUCUCAUAGCUUAACUAUGAAACUGCCAUUGAUACUGCGGGUCUUGAGUAAGGUAGAAGUAGCUGGAAUAAGUAGUGUAGCGGUGAAAUGCAUAGAUAUUACUUAGAACACCAAUUGCGAAGGCAGGUUACUAUGUCUUAACUGACGCUGAUGGACGAAAGCGUGGGGAGCGAACAGGAUUAGAUACCCCUGU
rnacentral:rRNA from 1 species